rnacentral:tRNA from 1 species
UCCCAGGCAGUCCAGUGGGUAGGACUCUGUCCUUCCACUACAGGAAGCACAGGUUUGAUUCCUGGUUGGGGAA